GGUUCGAUCAUGGCUCAGGAUUGAACGCUGGCAGGAUCUUACACAUACAAGUCGAACGGCAGCACGGACUUUGGAAUAUCUGGUGGCGAGUAGCGAACAGGUGAGUAAUGUAUGAACGUUACCACCUAGUAGCGGGGGGAUAACUGCGCAGCAUAGCUAAUACCGCCACGCCCCUUCGAGGGAAAGCGGGGAGUUGGACUCGCACUAUUGAAGCGGCCGAUAUCGGAUUAGCUGAUUGGUGGGGUAACGGCUCACCAAGGCGACGAUCCGUAGCUGGUUCGAGAGGACAAACCAGCCACACUGGGACUGAGACACGGCCCGAAUACAGGAGGCAGUGGGGAAUUUGGACAGGCCGGAAACCUGAUCCAGCCAUCCCGCGUGUCUGAUAAAUAUGAUUAUGGCACUUUUGUUGGAAAAAAGAAACGGCACGGGAUGUCACCCCGUGCAACUGACCAAUACCUGCAGAAUAAGCACCGGCUUAACUACGUACCAGCAGCCGCGGUAAUACGUAGGGUGCAAGCGUUAAUCGGAGAUUACUGGGCGUAAAGCGUGCGACGUGGUUCGAAAGAAAGAUGUGAAAUCCCAAAACCUUUGGAACUGCAUUUUUUAACUACCGAGCUGAUGCUUGUCGGAGGAGGUGGAAUUCCGCGUGUAGCAUUGAAAUAAAAUGAUAUGCGGAGGAACACCGAUGGCGAAAACAGCCUCCUGGGAUAACACGAAGCGCUCAUGCACGAAAGCGUGAGACAAGCAGGAUUCAAGAUACCCUGGUAGUCCACCUAGAAAUCUGCUCAACUAGCUGUUGGGGCCUUCGGGCCUUGGUAGCCACCCUUCAACACAUGGGUGAAGCCGCCUGGGAGGUACAGUCGCAAGGUCCAUCAAGGAAUUUGACACAGGAUGCCUCAAGCGGUGGAUGAUGUGGAUUAAUUCGAUGCUUGCCAGCCGCCCUACCUUGACAUGUCACAGGUCAAAGGGUUGGGAGUGCUCGCAAGAGAACGGAACACAGGUGCUGCAUAAGCUGUCGUCAGCUCGUGUCGUGAGAUGUUGGGUUAGUCACAACAGGCGCAACCCUUGUCAUUGAAUUUUUCCACGAAAGGGCACUCGUAGAGACUGCCGGUGACAAACCGGAGGAAGGUGGGGAUGACGUCAGGGCCUCAUGGCCCUUAUGGGUAGGGCUUCUGCGUCAUACAAUGAGUGGGACGGUCGCCAACCGCGAGGAGUAAUCCAGAAGCCGAUCGUAGUCGGAUCAAGUCUGCAACUCGACUGCGUGAAGUCGGAAUCGCUAAGUAAUCGCGGAUCAUGUCGCGGUGAAUACGUUCCCGGGUCUUGUACACACCGCCGUCACACCAUGGGAGUGGGUUUUGCAAGUAGUUAGCCUAACCUUAAGGAGAAGGCAAUUACCACGGUAGGAUUCAUGACUGGGGUGAGUCUUCAAAGGUAA
rnacentral:rRNA from 1 species